ensembl:lncRNA
UCUCGUUCCCCCAGGACAGGAGCAGCGGUUCCCAGGUGAGUUGCAGCCUGGGUUGGGCUCCGAGGGGCACAGGAAGGGGUUGGAGCUGGGACAGCGAGGAAGUGAGCAGAGGAGCUCAGCGUGCUCUGCUGCCCAAUUGGGCUUCUGGAACGCAACACAGGUGGGACUGCAUUUCUUCCUCUGGGCCACGGGAGGCACGAGAUGACCUCACUGCGCAGCUCUGCACACAUGGAUCCAUGGAAGCCUUCAACUCAGUUUCCCUUCGGAGACCCAGCAGGCAACAUCUGUCCCCGCAAAGGGAGCGCAGACUGCGUGCUCAGCUGAAUGGGAAGCAUUCUCGGUGCAGCCAUGUCCAGGAGCGGCAGAUGCCCAACAGCAGCUCCAUCAGCGAGUUCCUCCUCCUGGCGUUGGCAGACACGCGGCCGCUGCAGCUCCUGCACUUCUGGCUCUUGCUGGGCAUCUACCUGGCUGCCCUCCUGGGCAACGGCCUCAUCAGCACAGCCGUAGCCUGCGACCACCGCCUGCACACCCCCAUGUACUUCUUCCUCCUCAACCUCGCCCUCCUCGACCUGGGCUCCAUCUCCACCACUGUCCCCAAAGCCCAGGC